CCUUAGUGUUUAGUCAUUGAGUAAUAAUUUAUUUAUUUAUGUGUUUACAUUUGUCUAAGCAUUUUGUUAUAUAAUAUUCAUAUUAUAGAUCAAUAGAUGAAUUAGUGUAUAAUCAACAUACGUAAAUAUUAAGUUUUUCGCGUGAUCUAUAUUAUGACUAAUAUUUUUACGUAUUUUUUGUUGAUUGAAGACGAUAUAAUAAUUGUAAAAAAAGUUCAAAAUGUACAACUGCAAAUUAUUCGUAAUUAUUGUAUUGGCGUUAAUUAAUGUAAUAGCAGUACAAGCCAGAAUAUUCUUUACAAAACGGACUUUACAUUCGCCUUUUGGAAAAAUGGCUUACGAAAAAACAGAUGCCGCAAAAAAAAUUGGUGUUAUCAUACAUUAUACAUCAUACAUUACAAAAAAAGUUAAUAGUUCGACGAUAAUAUUGCCAAGGAUUGUUGGUUAUUCACUGCUAAAACUCGUUAUAACGUAACGUAUAAUAUAUUUUUAUUAUAUUUAUAUAUACAAAAAAUGUCUUAAGACUCAAAUGAUAAAAAACGAGAUUGGAUAUUCGAAAAGUGUAUUGGAUGUAUUGGAUUAAAAAAUAUACCCAAUAUCAUUUGUUCAUAAAUAUAGAUUGAAAACGAUAUAAUAAUUGUAAAAAAAAAAUUCAAAAUGUACAACAGCAAAUUAUUUGUAAUUAUUGUAUUGGCGUUAAAUAAUGUAAUAACAGUACAACCCGGAAUAUUCUUUAUAAAACAGACUUUAAAGCUAAAUGGACUGUCAUUGAUUUUUAUCCAUCAGGAAUUCGAGACAUUAACCUGACUUUAAUAUGGAUACAAUUAUUAAUGAAAUGGCAUUAAGUCCUAGGCGAUUAGAUUUUGUUUUGUAAUCUCACAAUAAUAUGUUAUUUAAUUACAAUAAAUAGUUAAUAACCCAUGAGUUCUCAUGUGUUUUUUUUUUAUAACAAUUAACACUCAAAUAUAAAUGUCAAAUUGUUGUAAUCAUGAGUAACUGACUAGGUCUGUCAGCAAUAGAUUUUAGUUAUUUUGUUGUUAUUUAAAAAUAUCAUUCAUGGGUAUAUGAAUGUUUUAGAGUAUAUUAUAAUAUUUUAUAAUGCUCUUCCAUAUAAUAAUUUGCAAUGUUCUUUUUUAAAGAAAAUAGAAAACCACAGAAAAGAAAUGAAAAUUUUAAUCAAAGAAAUAACACUCAAACAGUUGCGUGCCGAACUGACAAACAGACCUGAGGCAAACUAUACAAUUUGAUCCCCCUCCCCACCACCAACAGUUUUUUCACUAUUUUUUUUUAUUAUUCAAAAUAAUGAAUAUUAUUAAUUUUUUUUAGGUAUAAGUUGCACAUCUACACUAACACACCCACCCACUCACCCAUAUUUCCCUUGAGGCAAUUGCCUCAAAAAAUGACUAUUCGGCACGCCAUUGCACUCAAAUAUAAAUGUUAUAUUGUUGUAAUCAUGAAUAACUAAUUAGCAUUCGCCUUUUGGGAAACAUAGCUUAUGACACAACAGGUGCUGCAAAAGAAAUUGGUCUUAUCAUACCGGAGGGCGGAGAUGAAAACGAGAUUGGAUACUCAAUAAGCGUAUUGGAUCUAUUCAAUCAUAUUGUAGCAGUCGAUAACGAAGAUACGCCUUUCAAAUUUUUUUAGAUUCUUUUUACGGAAUAUUAAAGAAUAUUAUG